rnacentral:rRNA from 1 species
AUGGGUUAUCAUCAAAUUCGCAUUCGUGAACAAGAUAUUCCCAAGACAGCAUUCAGAACAAGCUAUGGUUCUUAUGAAUAUACUGUCAUGCCUUUCGGCCUUGUCAAUGCUCCUCCAACAUUGUCUCGAAUGAUGAACUUCAUCUUCAACCCCUACACUAAUGAAUUCGCCUUGGUGUAUCUCGAUGAUAUCUUGGUCUUCUCCAAGAAUAAGAAGGAUCAUGCCAAACAUUUGCGAUUGGUGCUCGACAAGCUCAGAGAGCAUCAAUUCUAUGCCAAGUUUUUGAAAUGUGAGUUAUGGCUUGAUGAAGUUCUUUAUCUUGGUCACAUCAUCUCCGCCAAGGGCAUUGCUAUUAAUCCCGAGAAGGUGUCUGCAAUUGUGAAUUGGGAACCUCCUCAGAAUGUCAAGCAGCUCCGCAGUUUUCUUGGCUUGCAAGAUAUUGCCGAAGAUUCGUUGAGAACUUCUCUAAGAUUGCAAAGCCUCUUUCCAACCUCCUCCAGAAGCAUGUCAAGUAUGUCUGGUCGCCUGAGUGUGACGUUGCUUUCAACACCCUCAAAGAGAAGCUUGUCUCAACUCCUGUGUUGA